rnacentral:rRNA from 1 species
GACGAACGCUGGCGGCGUGCCUAAUACAUGCAAGUCGAACGCAGUGGGGACGGGUGAGUAACACGUGGGUAACCUCCCAUCAGAGGGGAUAACACUUGGAUACAGGUGCUAAACCGAUACUGAUUGAUGGCCCCGCGGUGCAUUAGCUAGUGGGUGAGGUAACGGCUCACCAAGGCCACGAUCCGUAGCUGGUUUGAGAGGACGACCAGCCACACUGGGACUGAGACACGGCCCAGACUCCUACGGGAGGCAGCAGUGGGGAAUAUUGGACAAUGGGGGAAACCCUGAUCCAGCCAUGCCGCGUGUAUGAUGAAGGCCUUCGGGUUGUAAAGUACUUUUGGCAGAGAAGCGGUAUCUGCAGAAGAAGCACCUGCUAACUACGUGCCAGCAGCCGCGGUAAUAC